rnacentral:rRNA from 1 species
CGUAGGUAACCUACCUUCUGCUGGGGGAUAACAUCGGGAAACCGGUGCUAAUACCGCAUAAUGCAGCGGUCACGCAUGUGGCAGUUGUUAAAGAAUUUCGGCAGAAGAUGGGCCUGCGUGUCAUUAGUUAGUUGGUAAGGUAACGGCUUACCAAGACGAUGAUGACUAGGGGGUCUGAGAGGAUGAUCCCCCACACUGGAACUGAGACACGGUCCAGACUCCUACGGGAGGCAGCAGUGAGGAAUCUUGCGCAAUGGGGGAAACCCUGACGCAGCCACGCCGCGUGCCAGAUGAAGGCCCUACGGGUCGUAAAUGGCUUUUGGUCGGGAAGAUAAGCCGGGUUUCGACCUGGUGUGACGGUACCGACUGAAUAAGCACCGGCUAACUCCGUGCCAGCAGCCGCGGUAAUACGGAGGGUGCAAGCGUUGUCCGGAAUCAUUGGGUGUAAAGGGUGCGUAGGCGGAUGUCUAAGUCUGGGGUGAAAUCUUGCAGCUUAACUGUAAAAUUGCCUUGGAUACUGGAUGUCUUGAGUACAGAAGAGGAU